CAUUUUUUUUUUAAAAAAAAGAAAGCGGACAGAAACGACGGCGAAGGAUUCCGCCGCGCCGCCGAAAUCGUCAUGGUUCCUCCCGCCGCCCGCCCGCCGACGCCGACGUCGACGCCGACGGCGAAUCCAGCUGCACCCUCCUCGUCGCGGAUUGAUUCGCCGUCGCUCAAGGCCGCCCUCGCCAUGGCUCUCAUCCACUACAAUCGCCUCCCCUCUAGACCCGCCGACGCCGCCGCCUCCUCUCCACAGGCUCUCCUCCACUGGAAGCGCAAGGCCAAGGACCGGAAGCGCGAGAUCCUCCGCCUCCGUGAGGAGCUCAAGCUCCUCCAAGACGGCGCGCGUGGGGAGGAGAUGGAGCCGCCGGUCGCAUCCUGCCGCUGCCACUUCUUCGACGGUUGCGGCGACCUGCCGCCGGAUGGCGAUGCUGGGGAGCACUGGGUCGACGAGGUGCUGCGAAGGAGGUUCCUCAGACUGGUGCGGUGGAAGGAGAAGCGGAGGAGACUGGAUAGAUCACUUCCCACGAGUCGUUUGAUGGAGUAUAACGAUGAGGAUGAGAUACAACAGCUUAGCUUGUCAAUUGAUUUCCUGGUGGAGCUAUCAGAUGGAAUUUUUGCCAAAAGAGAAGCUGGCUCCUCAUUUGCUACAUUUUCUCACCAGGCAGUAGACUUCAUUUUGGCUUCACUGAAGAACAUUCUAUCAUCAGAAAGAGAAAAGGAGAUAAUUGAGGAGAUAAUCAAUGGUUUUGUUGCUCGUUUGAUGAAAAGGAUGUGCGCCACUCCUGAAAAUGCUGGAUCAGUUAACUGCUCGGAUACACAAUUAUCUCUGCAGCACUUGUUACGUAAGUUAGGAAAUGAGGAGUUCGUCGGUCAGAGGAUAAUCCUUGGAGUUUCUCAAAAGAUCUCAAAUGUAUCAGAAAAAUUACUUCUAGUAGACCCAUUUGAUGAUGCCUUCCCUGAAAUGCAUAGCAAUAUGUUUAUUAUGAUACAAUUAAUUGAGCUCCUCAUAUCUGACUACUUCAACAAUUGGCUAUAUCAUCAUCAUUUUGACAAAAAACUUUUUGAAGAAUGGGUCAGAUCUAUUCUCAAGGCACGAAUGGACUUGGAAGCCCUGGAGAGCAGAAAUGGACUCUAUGUGGUGUACAUAGAGCGAGUUAUUGGGAGGUUGGCAAGGGAGGUAGCUCCUGCUGCUCAUCAGGGGAAGCUGGACCUAGAAGUUCUCUCCAAGCUCCUUUGCUGAGAACACGGUGCCUCUGUCUUGCCAAUGAUGAUUAGCUAAAGGAAGAUGGUGUAGCAAGCAGGUGUUUUGUUCUCCAUUGAAUGGCUGGAACUAACUACCAAGGCAUACUCAAUAGUCCUUUUCAGGGAGGCCAAUACCAUCCAGCAUCUGGCAUCUGCUCCAAUCAACAAAUGGCGUGCACCGCCAUUCCAGAGCCUAAAUCCGUCCUUCUUCCUCAAUGGCUAAUUAGAGGAUGGGUGAAAGCAUAACCAGUUUCAAGAAUCAAUAUCAUCUUUCCCUUCAAGUACUCCCUGGAGUCACAGUGGUGGUCUCUAUGAGCCCUAAAGUAAAACCAUCUUUGGAAUUUAUGGACAACCGUAGCAAUCGCAUUACACAGCUCGACGACGAGAUAAUGUGCCUCUCUGCUAGCUUAAUGUUCAGGCCGGGAUCAACAACUUACCAGGUUGUUUGUUUAGUCGUGUAUAUCAAAUGGACGACGAUUAUUUAUACUGUUAUACAUGGAGCUGGGAGAUGCAAGCAAAGCAGUUGUUCCAUUUGCUGAUCGAAUGCUAGGUUGGACAGAACUGUGUGUGACUGCAAGUAAGUUCAUGGAAAAUUCAGUGGAUACUGUGGUGGUGAUGGAUGUUUAUUUAGCGUGCAAUCUGACAGAGAUUUGGUCGGCAGGGAGGCAUGAUGCAUGGGUCCGGAUGAGAUCUGCAUCGACAACUUCGAGGCCGAUAGAUAGCAUAGAUAGCAAAAACUAUCUUAAGAUAUUAGCCUUCUAAGCCCUUCUCUGAGUCUCUACCAAACUAUCUGGUACAGUACUUUGCUCUCCUCCAUAUUCCCCCUUUUGUUUUUUAAAUAUUGAAAA